rnacentral:miRNA from 1 species
AGUCUCGAUGACCGGAAGGGAUUUCUUCCGGUCAUCGAGACCAUACAAUCUCGAUGGCCGGAAGGGAUUCCUUCCGGUCAUCGGGACC